rnacentral:rRNA from 1 species
AGAUUGAACGCUGGCGGCAUGCUUUACACAUGCAAGUCGAACGGUAACAGGCCGCAAGGUGCUGACGAGUGGCGAACGGGUGAGUAAUGUAUCGGAACGUGCCCAGUCGUGGGGGGAUAACGCAGCGAAAGCUGCGCUAAUACCGCAUACGAUCUAUGGAUGAAAGCGGGGGACCGAAAGGCCUCGCGCGAUUGGAGCGGCCGAUGUCAGAUUAGCUAGUUGGUGGGGUAAAGGCCCACCAAGGCGACGAUCUGUAGCUGGUCUGAGAGGACGACCAGCCACACUGGAACUGAGACACGGUCCAGACUCCUACGGGAGGCAGCAGUGGGGAAUUUUGGACAAUGGGCGCAAGCCUGAUCCAGCAAUGCCGCGUGCAGGAAGAAGACCUUCGGUUGUAAACUGUCUUUUGUACGGAACGAAACGGUCUAGGUUAAUACCGUCGGACUAAGUGACGGUACCGUAAGAAGUAAGACACCGGACUAACGUACGU